CCCAUUACAUUUUCAUAGAGAAAUUAAGAUUAGCAAGACAGUACUUCUGCCUGCAUUCACGCCAAAACAGGAGAAAGAAUUCCAAAUCAAAUUUCUCGUUCAGUUAGAAAAAAAAAAGAAAGAGUUCAAGCUUUGAUUGAAAAAUUAUUUCGGGUUAAGAUUCGAUCGAAGGGAGUCCUAUCAAUUGUUCGAGGUGACAAGUUGGUAUUCCGGAAAUAAUAUAAGAACACAGGUGACGGUGAGGAUCGCAUUGGCUAAAGGAUCCGAGUAGCAUAUUCUUGAUAAGCCCCGCAAUUGUUCACGUGGGCUAUAGUUUAUUUAUUCGUUAUGUUUCUUUUUCUUGAAAACUCUUAGUUUGCUCCAUAGUCAUGUCUUUAGAGUUUUGUGUACUCUUCGUUAUUUUGGAUUUGUGGAAUAUUGGAUCUUCUCUCAUCUUUGGAGAUGAUUUUCGUAUUGUUAGUUGGUGGUAUUGGUGAAAUGUUGGUAAUAUAUGGUGAAUUAUGUUGGUGUUUGUG